rnacentral:rRNA from 1 species
AUUGAACGCUGGCGGCAGGCCUAACACAUGCAAGUCGAACGAGUGGCGGACGGGUGAGUAAUGUCUGGGAACCUGCCUGAUGGAGGGGGAUAACUACUGGAAACGGUAGCUAAUAGCGCAUACCAUCAGAUGUGUCCAGAUGGGAUUAGCUAGUUGGGGGGGUAACGGCUCACCAAGGCGACGAUCCCUAGCUGGUCUGAGAGGAUUACCAGCCACACUGGAACUGAGACACGGUCCAGACUCCUACGGGAGGCAGCAGUGGGGAAUAUUGCACAAUGGGCGCAAGCCUGAUGCAGCCAUGCCGCGUGUAUGAAGAAGGCCUUCGGGUUGUAAAGUACUUUCAGCGGGGAGGCGUUACCCGCAGAAGAAGCAACGGCUAACUCCGUGCCAGCAGCCGCGGUAAUUC